rnacentral:rRNA from 1 species
CAGUUGCGGCUGCCUAACACAUGCAAGUCGACGGUAACGACGGAAGCUUGCUUCCGGGCGACGAGUGGCGGACGGGUGAGUAACACUUAGGAAUCUGCCCAGUAGUGGGGGACAACAUUCGGAAACGGAUGCUAAUACCGCAUACGCACUACGGUGGAAAGUGGGGGACCUUCGGGCCUCACGCUAUUGGAUGAGCCUAAGUCGGAUUAGCUUGUUGGUGAGGUAAAGGCUCACCAAGGCGACGGUCCGUAGCUGGUCUGAGAGGACGAUCAGCCACACUGGGACUGAGACACGGCCCAGACUCCUACGGGAGGCAGCAGUGGGGAAUAUUGGACAAUGGGCGCAAGCCUGAUCCAGCAAUGCCGCGUGUGUGAAGAAGGCCUGCGGGUUGUAAAGCACUUUCAGUAGAGAAGAAAAGCCUAGGGUUAAUACCCCUGAGUCUUGACGUAACCUACAGAAGAAGCACCGGCUAACUCCGUGCCAGCAGCCGCGGUAAUACGGAGGGUGCGAGCGUUAAUCGGAAUUACUGGGCGUAAAGCGCGCGUAGGCGGUUUUGUAAGUCGGAUGUGAAAGCCCCGGGCUUAACCUGGGAAUUGCAUUCGAUACUGCAUAACUAGAGUACGGUAGAGGGAAGUGGAAUUCCGGGUGUAGCGGUGAAAUGCGUAGAUAUCCGGAGGAACACCAGUGGCGAAGGCGACUUCCUGGGCCAGUACUGACGCUGAGGUGCGAAAGCGUGGGGAGCAAACAGGAUUAGAUACUCUGGUAGUCCACGCCGUAAACGAUGAGAACUAGAUGUCGGGAGGAUCUGCCUUUCGGUGUCGCAGCUAACGCGUUAAGUUCUCGCUGGGAGUACGCGGCACGGUAAACUCAAGGAUGACGGGACUCGCACAGCGUGGAGCAUGUGUUAUCGAUGCACGCGAGACUACUGCCCUGACAUGACAGACCUCUAGAGAUAGAGGGGUGCUCGCUGCAAACAGUGCUGCAUGCUGUCGUCAGCUCUGUCUGAAUGUGGUAAGUUCCGCACGAGCCACCUUGUUCUUAGUGCAGCACUCGUGGAACUCUAGGAACUGCGGUGAAUCGAGAGUGGACACUCAAGUCUCAUGGCCUUAGCAGUAACGUUCUAAUUGCGAUACAAGGCUCACGAUAAGGUGUGGACA